GACGAACGCUGGCGGCGUGCCUAACACAUGCAAGUCGAACGAACUCUUCGGAGUUAGUGGCGGACGGGUGAGUAACACGUGGGAACGUGCCUUUAGGUUCGGAAUAACUCAGGGAAACUUGUGCUAAUACCGAAUGUGCCCUUCGGGGGAAAGAUUUAUCGCCUUUAGAGCGGCCCGCGUCUGAUUAGCUAGUUGGUGAGGUAACGGCUCACCAAGGCGACGAUCAGUAGCUGGUCUGAGAGGAUGACCAGCCACACUGGGACUGAGACACGGCCCAGACUCCUACGGGAGGCAGCAGUGGGGAAUCUUGCGCAAUGGGCGAAAGCCUGAUGGAGCAACGCCGCGUGAAGGAUGAAGGCCCUCGGGUUGUAAACUUCUUUUAUAAGUGAAGAAUAUGACGGUAACUUAUGAAUAAGCACCGGCUAACUACGUGCCAGCCGCCGCCGUAAUAC
rnacentral:rRNA from 1 species